rnacentral:rRNA from 1 species
UGACCGCUGGCGGCGUGCCUAAUACAUGCACGUCGAGCGCCCAGACGCGGAGCUUGCUCCUCUGACGUUAGCGGCGGACGGGUGAGUAACACGUGGAUAACCUACCUAUAAGACUGGGAUAACUUCGGGAAACCGGAGUUAAUACCGGAUAAUAUAUUGAACCGCAUGGUUCAAUAGUGAAAGACGGUUUUGCUGUCACUUAUAGAUGGAUCCGCGCCGCAUUAGCUAGUUGGUAAGGUAACGGCUUACCAAGGCAACGAUGCGUAGCCGACCUGAGAGGGUGAUCGGCCACACUGGAACUGAGACACGGUCCAGACUCCUACGGGAGGCAGCAGUAGGGAAUCUUCCGCAAUGGGCGAAAGCCUGACGGAGCAACGCCGCGUGAGUGAUGAAGGUCUUCGGAUCGUAAAACUCUGUUAUUAGGGAAGAACAAAUGUGUAAGUAACUAUGCACGUCUUGACGGUACCUAAUCAGAAAGCCACGGCUAACUACGUG